AACAGCUUUGACAUUUGAUGUCAAUGGUGCAUGAUUCCUUCAAGACAAGAUGGGUGACCAAGAGACAAAUUGAAGCAUACUGAAGCGCACAGAUGAUUUCUUGGAUCAUCUUGGCCCAGUGUGAAGUGUGGGAAGUGGUGCCGGAGAUCAGAG